rnacentral:rRNA from 1 species
GACGUAGGGUGCAAGCGUUGUCCGGAUUUAUUGGGCGUAAAGAGCUCGUAGGCGGCUUGUUGCGUCGACUGUGAAAACCCGCGGCUUAACCGCGGGCUUGCAGUUGAUACGGGCAGGCUAGAGUUCGGUAGGGGAGACUGGAAUUCCUGGUGUAGCGGUGAAAUGCGCAGAUAUCAGGAGGAACACCGGUGGCGAAGGCGGGUCUCUGGGCCGAUGACUGACGCUGAGGAGCGAAAGCGUGGGGAGCGAACAGG